GUUUUUUGAGAGGAGGUUCCUGGAGGUAGGAGUUUAGCUUUAGUUACUCAGUCAAGGGAAACAAUCACAUACCCAGCAAUUUUUGGGGAGCCAGUGGGCCCGGAAGAGGAGCCAUUUAUAAAUAGCUGGUCAUCGGGGUUGGUGAGAGGCUCGGAGGAAAUGUUUGGAAAGUGUGGCUGUAGGUGAUCCAGGAUGUCAGUGCAAGAAUGAGUAGGAGGGGAAGAGGAUACGGGGAGUAAGGAUGCUGGGUUGAGAGGAGCACUUUUGGCAAGACUUGAAUUCAGGAUUUUUGAUAAAGAGGGCAUGGAGUAAUUGAAUCCGGGAAGGAGGAAGGGAGCUUAAUGCUUGGGAGGAAAGGAGAUUUUGUAGAUUAUGAGGACUGUGGACGGUGGUAUUUUGGCUGAAUGUUAAGGAGCUGCUGUCCACAAACUAAGUAAAGGAAGUAUUUAGAAGGCGUUGGUCUGUUAGGUUUGGAAAGGGUAUAAGAAAGGUUUGAACAGUGUUUACACAGAAGUGUGCAGGGUCUUGACAGGUAGAAAUUUCAGGUAAGAGCAUGGCUGGGUUUAGACGAGAGCUGGUUAGCACGGUGAUUUGGGGAGUUUUUAUGAAUAGAGCAUACAGUUGGAGAAGCUGUGAGGGGGAGAUGAAACUUAGUACACUGUGGUGAGUUAGCAUGUUUUUGAUGUUAUGGGUUGAAUAAACUGUUAGGUUGGCAUGGAGAGAUGGUUUUAGGCUUUUAAGGUGAGGACAGCAGCUGCUGCCAAUGCUUGGAGACAGGCAGGCCGUUUGAGAACUGUGGCUUUAAGCUGUUUAGAGAGGUAGGCAACAACCUGGAGGAUGGGUCCUUUAGACUGGGUUAGAACACCCAGUGUAACUUUAUGCCAUCCGUUGGUAUAGAGGGAGAAAGGUUUGGUGAGGUCUGGGAGAGUGAGGAUGGGGCUGAGGUGAGAGAUUUUUGGAGGAGACAGAAAGGCUGGGUAAUAGGCUAUGCAGAGUUUAAAGGCUCAUGGAGAGGGCCUUUAGUAUCUUGGUAUAACAGUUUGGCAAGUAGAGCAAAGGAGGGAAACUAGAGCCUAAAAUAUCCUGCUAGUCCUAGAAAAGAGAGAAUUUCUUGUUUAGUUUGUGGAGGUGGGAGGGACUGGAGGAGGGAUAUGCGGUGGGUUGUGAGCCUUCAGGUUGGCACGGUAAGGGCUAGGCCUAGGUAGGUGACUGAGGGGGUGUAUAUUUGUGUUUUUUUAGGGGAGACCUAAUACCUCUGUUCUGCUAAGAAGUUUGAAAGAGAGAGAUAGUCUGGGCGUUGCAGUUUUUUUGAGAGGGGCUACACAGGAGCAGAUUAUUAACACAUUGAGGGAGAAUGGAUGCUUUUAGGGAUAAGGUACAGAGGUCGUGAGCAAGGGCCUGCCUAAAAAGAUGGGAGCUGUCUCUGAAGCCUUGAGGUAGUACCCACCAGGUCUUACUCUGAGAACCAGGCUGCAGUGCAGUGGCAUGAUCACGGAUCACUACAGCCUCAAACUCUCAGGCUCUGGAGACUCUCCCCUCAGCCUCCCAAGUAGCUGGGACCACAGGCACCUACUACCAUGCCCAGGACUCAUGUGAUUAUACUGAACUGACCCAGAUAACCCAGGAUAAUUCACAUCUCAAGACCCUUAAACUUGAUGACGUCUGCAAAGUCCCUUUUGCCAUAAGGUUAUAUUGGCAUAUGGUCCAGGAAUUAGUGCAGAGCCACAAUCUCAGAAAGAAAAUGAGAGUGGAUAAUGAAGACAGAUCAUCUGGGUGUAAACCUGAGGAUAUUCCAGAAUAUAGAGGUUAGAGAGAUAAGAAAGAAACUAGCAAGGAAACUAAGGAGCAGCCUCUAAGUAGAAGGAAAAGAAUGGUGAGUUGUAAUUGGAGGUGAAGACAGUUUCAAGGGAGGGUAUGUUAAUUGCUGCUGACACAUCAAGGAAGAUGAGGACUGAGCAUUGACCAUUGGAUUUAGCAACAUGGAGUUUUCUGCUGACCUGGACCUGAGCAGUUUUAAUGGAGUGGUGGGGGCAAUGCAUGACAGAAGAGAAUUCAAGACAGAAGGGACUUUUCCAAAAAAAAAAGGUAUACAAAUGGUUAUUGUGCAACGUGGAAAGAUGUUCACCAAUAUUAGUCAUUUAGGAAAUGAAAAUCAAAAGCACAAUGAGUUACCAGUUCACACUCACUCAGAAGGCAAUAAUCAAAGAAAUGGACAAUAGCAAGGGUUGGGAAGGAUAUGGAGAUAUUCUCCCACAUUGCUGGUGGAAUGUAAAAAUGGUGAAGGUGAAGGUGGAAAAACGGAAAUGAAGUAUUGAGAGGGAGAUGGAAUAUAAGAAGCUUUCUGACAGAUAACCCAAUGGAACAAACUGACUGACUGGGCAUCUGAAAUGAGUAAGAAGGAGUCAAAAAUGAGCAAAAUUAUGCUUCUCUGUGGAUGCAAAUCAUAUCUCCAUUACUUACACCCAGGAGAACUUGUAUGAAGUAGUUAACUUCUCUGGAUUUUAGCUUUUUCAUGUGUACAAUGGGGGGUUUAUGCCUCAUAGAGUUGUAGAAACUGCAAAUGAGAGACUUAUGAAAAGCCUACUGAAUGACCUUAUGAAUAAUAAUAUCAUCAGUGGAAGGUGAUUUGAGGAUGUGAUGCUGUUAUCCCUGACAUGGGCAGGAGGGAACUUGGACAAAGACCAAGGAAGAAAAUAUCUCUUCUCUGAAUGUCUUGUCUGCAUUUGAGUGCAAUGUCCUUUAUUCCGUGUCUUCCACCCAAUCAGGGCCCUACUGCCACUUAAGGGGUAAUUUCUCUUUCAAUCAUUAGUUGUUCCAGCACCAAGAAGCUUAGCCUCAGUUGAGGCACCUGAGUCAGGAGGCCAGGAUCCUUGGGAGAUUGACAACAGGAGGAUAAUCCCAUCAGAAUACUCCAGGAUUCCAACAGUAUCUUAGUCUAUUUAGCUACUAUAAUAAAAUACCUUAGAUGUAUAAA